rnacentral:rRNA from 1 species
UCCUACGGGAGGCAGCAGUGGGGAAUUUUCCGCAAUGGGCGAAAGCCUGACGGAGCAAUACCGCGUGAGGGAGGAAGGCUCUUGGGUCGUAAACCUCUUUUCUCAGGGAAGAAAAAAAUGACGGUACCUGAGGAAUAAGCAUCGGCUAACUCCGUGCCAGCAGCCGCGGUAAUACGGAGGAUGCAAGCGUUAUCCGGAAUGAUUGGGCGUAAAGCGUCCGCAGGUGGCUAUGUAAGUCUGCUGUUAAAGAGUCUAGCUCAACUAGAUAAAAGCAGUGGAAACUACAUGGCUAGAGUGCGUUCGGGGCAGAGGGAAUUCCUGGUGUAGCGGUGAAAUGCGUAGAGAUCAGGAAGAACACCGGUGGCGAAAGCGCUCUGCUAGGCCGCAACUGACACUGAGGGACGAAAGCUAGGGGAGCGAAUGGGAUUAGAUACCCCAGUAGUCCUAGCCGUAAACGAUGGAUACUAGGCGUGGCUUGUAUCGACCCGAGCCGUGCCGUAGCUAACGCGUUAAGUAUCCCGCCUGGGGAGUACGCCCGCAAGUGUGAAACUCAAAGGAAUUGACGGGG